rnacentral:rRNA from 1 species
UACGAAGGGUGCGAACGUUAUUCGGAAUAAUUGGGCGUAAAGGGUUUGUAGGUGGUUUGUUAAGUCAGUCGUUUAAUACCUCGGCCUAACCGAGGAUCGGCGAUUGAAACUGGCGAGCUAGAGGUUGGAAGAGGCAAGUGGAAUUCCGGGAGUAGAGGUAAAAUUCGUAGAUCUCCGGAGGAACACCAAUGGCGAAAGCAGCUUGCUGGUCCAUACCUGACACUGAGAAACGAAAGCGUAGGGAGCAAACAGG